CCCUUAGAUGUUCUGGGCCGCACGCGCGCUACACUGAUGCAUUCAACGAGCCUAUCCUUGACCGACAGGUCCGGGUAAUCUUUGAAUCUGCAUCGUGACGGGGAUAGAUUAUUGCAAUUAUUAAUCUUCAACGAGGAAUGCCUAGUAGGCGCAAGUCAUCAGCUUGCGUCGAUUACGUCCCUGCCCUUUUUACACACCGCCCGUCGCUCCUACCGAUUGGGUGUGCUGGUGAAAUGUUCGGAUCGGCCGUUUGUCGCGGUUUCCGCGUCAUGUGGCUGAGAAGUUCAUUAAACCCUCCCACCUAGAGGAAGGAGAAGUCGUAACA
rnacentral:rRNA from 1 species